AUUGUUUCUCAGUCUUUUGGCUAAGAUCAAAUAUAGUAUCUUUUUUUUUUUAAAAAGACCAAUGGUUCAGAAUAGAAAAUGUAGUAUCUUUUCUCAGCAGUUUAACAUGUUCUAUUCAAGGACAACCUAUUAAAUGGAUUUUUGGAACAGGGAGAUGGAGUAGGAGCUUGCUCUGUCCACUCCAUGCAUUGACUUGGUAGUGCAAGACUACCAGGAAUGGUGCAUCCUCC
rfam:Gorilla gorilla gorilla genomic chromosome, chr9, whole genome shotgun sequence